rnacentral:rRNA from 1 species
GAUGAACGCUAGCUACAGGCUUAACACAUGCAAGUCGAGGGGGAAACGACAUUGAAGCUUGCUUCGAUGGUCGUCGACCGGCGCACGGGUGAGUAACGCGUAUCCAACCUGCCUCUGACCAAGGGAUAACCCGUCGAAAGUCGGCCUAAUACCUUAUGCAGUCGUCGGAAGUCAUCUGAUGACGACGAAAGAUUUCAUCGGUGAGAGAUGGGGAUGCGUCUGAUUAGCUUGUUGGCGGGGUAACGGCCCACCAAGGCAACGAUCAGUAGGGGUUCUGAGAGGAAGGUCCCCCACAUUGGAACUGAGACACGGUCCAAACUCCUACGGGAGGCAGCAGUGAGGAAUAUUGGUCAAUGGGCGAGAGCCUGAACCAGCCAAGUAGCGUGCAGGAUGACGGCCCUAUGGGUUGUAAACUGCUUUUAUGCGGGGAUAAAGUGAGGGACGUGUCCUUCAUUGCAGGUACCGCAUGAAUAAGGACCGGCUAAUUCCGUG